rnacentral:rRNA from 1 species
CAAUAGCGUAUAUUAAAGUUGUUGCAGUUAGAACGCUCGUAGUCGGAUUUCGGGGCGGGCCGACCGGUCUGCCGAUGGGUAUGCACUGGUCGGCGCGUCCUUCCUUCCGGAGACCGUCCCUACUCUUAACUGAGCGGGGGCGGGAGACGGGACUUUUACUUUGAAAAAAUCAGAGUGUUUCAAGCAGGCAGCUCGCUCUUGCAUGGAUUAGCAUGGGAUAAUGAAAUAGGACUUUGGUGCUACUUUGUUGGUUUCGAACACCGAAGUAAUGAUGAGAAGGGACAGUCAGGGGCACUCGUAUUCCGCCGAGAGAGGUGAAAUUCUCAGACCAGCGGAAGACGAACCACUGCGAAAGCAUUUGCCAGGGAUGUUUUCACUGA